CGCGAACUUAACCACUCGGCCACGGGGCCAGCCCCUAAAAAGGUAAUAUUUCACAUGGUUCAAUGGCCGAAAAAUUUAAUUAUAGAGUAAAAAUCUCUCUCCUGUUGGCCCCUUCUGCCAGAUUCCUGUUCCCCUCAGGAAACUAUGAGUUUGAUUUUGGUGUGGAUGUUUUGGAAGAAUACAUGAAACAUGUACUGUACUUGGCUUCUCAGUAAUGUCUAUCACAGAUUUACUUCUGAACCUCUUGGGCAUGAUGCAGUAAAAAAAUAGCGCUCUCCAGUCUGAUUGAAUACAUCCAAUGGGAAGUUUGACUUUGCAUAGUCUUUUGGCUAUCCUUCCCAGAGUGGACCUGGUUUUAAUUGUCAGAGUAACAGGUGCACAGCUAGCUGCUUGAAGCACUUGAAAAUGGAGUUUACAAAUAGGAAGCUCUAGAUGGGAGAUUUCCUCAAGUUGCUGAAAUAGAAUGUGGAUUUGAUCCAGAUGCAGAACUAGGACACUGAAUCGUAAGAGAUACUGUAAAAGUUUAAGGACAAUACUUACGGAGAAAAAAAGUUUAUCUUCUUGCUAUUAAGUAGUACACUGCAAAUGGGCAGGAUGGUUCUAUUAUGCUUAAAAGUUGUCCUGGACUGUUUGACACAGGAAAUGCACAAGUACUUUCUGCAGUAGUCAUGAAUCAUUGUGACUCCAUAACAACUUUGCAGGCAAGGAAACUGCCUUCAGGCCGUCAAAUGAGUUGAAUCACUACCACACUCAAGUCACCAUCACUAACAGGUGAUAAUAUAGUUUUAUCUAUUGGAAAUUGUUUUGUUUUUGAAUAAUUUUUUGGGUAAAUUCUGGACAUUGCAUAAGUGAUAUUUGGCACUCUAAUUUCUUAUGUUUGGGGAAAUAUAAUAAAAGAUGAACAGGAUAAUAAAGAUUGAGCUCCACAUAAGGAUA